rnacentral:rRNA from 1 species
AUUGAAUGCUGGCGGCAUGCCUUACACAUGCAAGUCGAACGGUAACAGGUCUUCGGAUGCUGACGAGUGGCGAACGGGUGAGUAAUACAUCGGAACGUGCCCGAUCGUGGGGGAUAACGAAGCGAAAGCUUUGCUAAUACCGCAUACGAUCUACGGAUGAAAGCAGGGGACCGCAAGGCCUUGCGCGAACGGAGCGGCCGAUGGCAGAUUAGGUAGUUGGUGGGAUAAAAGCUUACCAAGCCGACGAUCUGUAGCUGGUCUGAGAGGACGACCAGCCACACUGGGACUGAGACACGGCCCAGACUCCUACGGGAGGCAGCAGUGGGGAAUUUUGGACAAUGGGCGAAAGCCUGAUCCAGCCAUGCCGCGUGCAGGAUGAAGGCCUUUGGGUUGUAAACUGCUUUUGUACGGAACGAAAAGACUCUGGUUAAUACCUGGGUCCAGGACGUACCUAGAUAG